AAUCAACGCUGGCGGCGUGCCUCAGACAUGCAAGUCGAACGAUUAAAGCUCUCUUCGGAGAGUGCAUAGAGUGGCGCACGGGUGAGUAACACGUAAGUAAUGUACCUUCGAGUGGGGAAUAACGUCCGGAAACGGGCGCUAAUACCGCAUAAUGCAGCGGCAUCGCAAGAUGACAGUUGUUAAAGGAGCAAUCCGCUUGAAGAGGAGCUUGCGGCAGAUUAGCUAGUUGGUAGGGUAAUGGCCUACCAAGGCUACGAUCUGUAACCGGUCUUAGAGGACGGUCGGUCACACUGACACUGAAUAACGGGUCAGACUCCUACGGGAGGCAGCAGUCGGGAAUUUUGGGCAAUGGGGGAAACCCUGACCCAGCAACGCCGCGUGAAGGAUGAAGUAUUUCGGUAUGUAAACUUCGAAAGAAUAGGAAGAAUUAAUGACGGUACUAUUUAUAAGGUCCGGCUAACUACGUG
rnacentral:rRNA from 1 species